CUCUCUCUCUCUCUGUUUUCCUACAAGGAAGCCCCAAACCCCCGUGUCUUCGCCUAGAUGGAGCAAUUCUCAGUGCGCAGGGGAAAGAGAGGCGCACUCACUCCCUCUCUCCCUCUCCCUCUCUCUCCCUCUCUCUCUCUCACACACACACGCCGUAAUAAUGAGGUUUAAUUCUCUACCCAAGCAGAACUUGAGCAAUAAUAAUAAGCACAUCAGUACAAUUUGUUUACUGUGGCAUCGCACAGACGGCAAAAUAAGGUCCGAGAAAGACAAGCUGCCAGGGACGGCUUAUUUAUUUGUUUCUUUUCGGGGGGAGGGGGACAAAAUUAAGGCAAAGCGAGCCAGGGAGAAAACCAAAUUCCACCCAGCGAGGAGAAACGUGGCUGGAAAGGGGGAAACCCGCCGGGAGAAAAGACCUGGUGGCCUGGUUCAAGCCUUGAAAGAUGCGACUAGCAAGCAAGGUCCACACUUCGCUCAUAGAAGGGGCUGCCGACUGAGACCCCCCCCCAGCCGCGACCCCCACGUCUCCUAAGAAAAAUCCACACGCCGAAGGACCGGUAGACCCGAAGUUUCGAAUAAACCCACGCCCGUAUUUCUGUGCGGUGGGAGAUGAAGGAAACCCGUGUCAAGCUUGUAACUGGCCACUUGAGAGGGCGACUUUCCCGUCCCACCCAGAACUCCUUUCUGCCCCUCAGGCCUGUGAAGAGAGGAGGAGAUCAAGGCACACUCCACUCGGAGGAGGAGGAGGAGGCCCUGUCUUCUCGCACGUGGGAUCUCCUCCUCGGGCAGAGAGAAGUUAACCCCUUUAAGCCUCUUUGGGGGAUUAAAGGACACAUUCCUCGGAUGCCUCAUAGUGGACCUCUUCGAUUCCAAGCUAAUUCCAAGCUAAUCUCGGAGCAUUGGAGCUUUGCCUCAGGUCUACCAGGCACCUAUUCCGCUCCUGGGAUGUUUGUUUAUACAAAGGCUUCGCUCCACUAUGAAAACAUCUGAAGUCCAUAUCUGACUAUUGUUCCCUUCUCUGAAUCCCAUGCACUCAAGCUUCUCCCAUAGGUCCAUCCCCAAGGUUUUCUCAUCUAGGAAAAUAUUGAGAUCCCAAGUACAUUGGAUCCUGAAAGCCACUAGGUUUGGGUUGUUGCAGAUUUUUAGGGCUAUAUGGCCAUAUUCUAAAGCAUUAUCUCCUGACGUUUCGCCUGCAUCUAUGGCGAGCAUCCUCAAAGGUUGUGAGGUCCUCAAAGGUUGUGAGGUCAGGAGAGAGUGCUUCUAGAACAUGACCAUAUAGCCCUAAAAACCUAUAACAACCCAGUGAUUCCAGCCAUGAAAGCCUUCGAUGCCAUUAGGGUUGCUUUCCAGAAAACUGUUUCAAGAAUGACACUAAGGGUGCAAUCCUAUAUCCACUUAACUUGAAAGCCAGUCCUAUUCAACUUGAAUGGUUGAACUCAGUAGGACAUAGCAGAGAAUUGAGACGGAAAUACCAGGCACACUGAUUUAGAACGAAGGUCCUUGAUUUCAAUGGGACUUACUUGGAGGAAUUUGGAUUGAAUUGAACCAUUAGAGUCUCCCACUUUUUAGUGGCUUUACUUCAGGUUUGGACCUUCAGCACUACUGACAUCUUUAUGUCUCCAGAGGAUGGGGGAAACUUAUGAAGAAGUUGUUCUGGGUUGAUAACGUAGUAGAUAGUCUUCAUGGCUUCUCUUCUUGCCCCCCCCCCCCUCUACACGAGUAAAAUAAAAACAAGUAGAAUAAACUUUUCAUUCGUUAAACAUUUUAUCUGGGACGUGAUACAGAUCCAGUGGUGGGCUUUGGUUCAAGGGGAGAGAGAUAGGAGAAAUGCCAGAGAACAAGGAAUCCUUCUGACAGUUGUAGAAAGGCAUUGGCCUCAUGGUCCGAUCAAAACCCAUGGAAGGCAGCUAUUCCUGUUGUUGUUGUUGUUUUUUUUUGUGUGUGUGCCUUCAAGUGGUUUCUGAUUUAGAGUAAUCCCAAAGAGAACAAUCACAGAUUUUUCUAGGUGAUAUUUUGUCCAGAGGAGAGUUUGCCUUUGCAUUCCUCCUAGGCUGAGAAAGUGUGACUUAGGCAAGGUUGCCCAGUCAAUCUCAUGGCCAAGGGGUGCGGGACUAAAAUCCUGGUCCCCAGAGUCCUAGUCCCAUGCUAGAUUUUGUGUUGGACCCUCCUUGAUAGUAGAUCCCACCCAAACAAGAAGCAUUAAUACAAGGAAGCAAGACUCAGGCUAAGACCUGUAUUUAGACAAGACUGAUGUGUUGGUUCAUUGCUUCCUGUGCUGUACAGGAAGUCACCCAGGAUAUCAGGAGCCUUUUCCAAAUAGGCCUCUACAUUUUUCUUUAUGAGUCCCUAGAUUGGGUUUGAAGUGAACAGAGAAUCCUACUUCCUGCUAUUUAGGUGGAAAUAUCUUUGUACUGCCUUGAAGCCUCAAACACACGUCUCCAAAUCUAAAAUGCUGUAGAUAGAUACUCAUAUCUAUAGAUGUAGACAUAUCUCAGGCAGCCUCCAAACCUUAACUGUGGUAGAUAUUCUCUCUCUUUCUCAUUGAACUCACAACAUACUAUCUACCACCUUUAAGGUUUGGAGGUUGUAGGAUAUAUGUAUAGCAUAAGUGCAUCUAUCUCUACAUAUUUAUUUAUCUAGCAGAUUUGAGGGCUGAUGGCUGGAAGAUUAUUACUAUAUUUUUUAUUCAGUGUAAAUCUGGUUUGUUUGUUUUCUUGAUUUUAUAUUGUUUAUAAUAAAAUAAAGGCCUACACCA